rnacentral:misc_RNA from 1 species
GUGUUGAAAAUGGAAAUAUGGGAGAUUCACAAUCUUAGGUGCAGUGUUCUGAUGGGAUUUCUGAUGGGAUUCUAGUGACUAGUCAUUACAAGUGAUACUGAUUUCCAAAACUUCCUGCUAUGUCAAUAUCUUUCUAGAGCCUUACGCCUAGAACAAAACACAAGCUAGGCACAUAAGGCAAAGGCCUAGUGAUAUGAACUUGCCUAACACCAUCUCAAAAGCUAGCUCACAAG